UUGUACUAAAAUUACAGUUAACCAUACUAUAUUGUACUAAAAAUAACUAAACUUGUUUUAACUGAAAACUAAUUAAACUAGUGUAUAGUUCAGUUAAAAGAAAUUGAACUUUUCACGGUUUCAGUACAGUUAACUGUGAAUCACAAAUUUUUCUUCUAAUUGAUAAUUUUACCCCAAAUUGAAAACUUUCAAAGCUAGGGUUCGAGAGGGCUGAGAGAAAUGCGAAGAGAAUUCCAUUGUUGCUUCGUGAAAAUGCAGAUUCAGUGGAUCAAACUGCCUAUAAAGGAUUGAAGCUACAAAAGGGGUUGAUUGAGGGGCGCGAACCCUCCAACCCCAACCCUGCCCUUUUUCCAGUUCGCGGGUUCAGCUGAAGGACCUCGACGAUCUUGAAGACGACGACGACGAAGAAGAAGCACCACGUGGACCCUCUAAACCGCCUGAUUACGAUGAUGAACAGUGGCAAAUUAGGUCUGGUAUUGGCCAAGAUUGCACCCUCGAUUACGAGGAGUGAAGAAAGAUGUCAUGAACUCAUCACUUCCUAAAUACGUGAUGAGUUGAGCAACAAAUAGAAAGAAUAUUAUUAGGCAAUUUUGACCCAGAAUUAUCAGAUAUUAACUUGUGGUGUUCAGGCAAGACUGAUGAUUUGAUGAACUGACUAUUUUGUUUAUUACUAAUCUUAGCUUCAUAAAUAGAGUGGCAAUACAUCUUAAUGGUAUUGUUUUUUUUUA